CCUACGGGAGGCAGCAGUGGGGGAUAUUGCACAAUGGGGGAAACCCUGAUGCAGCGACGCCGCGUGUAGGAAGACGGUCCUCUGGAUUGUAAACUACUGUCCCCAGGGACGAAGAUGACGGUACCUGGGGAGGAAGCUCCGGCUAACUACGUGCCAGCAGCCGCGGUAAUACGUAGGGAGCGAGCGUUGUCCGGAAUUACUGGGUGUAAAGGGAGCGUAGGCGGGGAUGCAAGUUGGGUGUUAAAUCUACCGGCUCAACUGGUAGUCGCACUCAAAACUGCAGCUCUUGAGUGAAGUAGAGGCAGGCGGAAUUCCUAGUGUAGCGGUGAAAUGCGUAGAUAUUAGGAGGAACACCAGUGGCGAAGGCGGCCUGCUGGGCUUUUACUGACGCUGAGGCUCGAAAGUGUGGGGAGCAAGCAGGAUUAGAUACCCCAGUAGUC
rnacentral:rRNA from 1 species